rnacentral:rRNA from 1 species
AUACGUAGGUGGCAAGCGUUGUCCGGAUUUACUGGGCGUAAAGGAUGCGUAGGCGGAUAUUUAAGUGAGAUGUGAAAAUCCCGGGCUUAACUUGGGAACUGCAUUUCAAACUGGGUAUCUAGAGUGCAGGAGAGGAAAGCGGAAUUCCUAGUGUAGCGGUGAAAUGCGUAGAGAUUAGGAAGAGCACCAGUGGCGAAGGCGGCUUUCUGGACUGUAACUGACGCUGAGGCAUGAAAGCGUGGGGAGCAAACAGGAUUAGAUACCCUGGUAGUCCACGCCGUAAACUAUGAAUACUAGGUGUGGGGGUUGUCAUGACUUCCGUGCCGCAGUUAACACAAUAAGUAUUCCGCCUGGGGAGUACGGUCGCAAGAUUAAA